rnacentral:lncRNA from 1 species
AAAACGACUAGUUUAAAGUCAUUGCGUGUAUUAUUGAGGACAGCGCCGUGCAACAACAGUUGUCCCGUCAAGUCAAAGCUGAGCGGAACACAAUGUGCCCGACGCAAUGUUUACACACUGACUGGAUCUGCAAGCAGGAAUGGAAACUGACCUGUGUGCGUCCUUAGGUGGGCUUUGAGAUGGGACGAUUUGCCAUAAACUUUUUCACAACCUGAAUAGUGGCAUUUGUGCUUUUUCUGAGGGGCGUCGUGCUCAACUCGACCCCUAAAUCGCUUGCCCCUUUGUUUAAGAGCAGAGUCGCCGGGGAUGGCGGUAGGUGUGGCAGAGUUCCCAUCAUCCCCGCUCGGGGUUGCAGUUGGCGGCGUGCUCUCCUCCUUUAUUUUUGCCUGCUCGGCAAAAUUGGCGGGCGUCUGCUGAUUAAAAUCCGCCAGAAUUCUCGCCACCACAAAUAAAGAGGAGUUGUCUUUCAAAGGCUCCUUGGCUUCUUCUCCGUUCCUCUGUGCAGCCGCAGUUUCGGGCUUGGUUUCUCUAUUCCCUUUUGGACCGUGGACAAUUGCCUGGCUGGACAUUGACACAAGGCACUCUGCUGCGAAGUGAUCCAUUCUGUUGAGGAGUCCGAGCUGUUUAUGACAUUCAAAGCCAGUGACCGUGAACUCCAGUAGAUCCCUUUGUGUGAUGCUGAAUCGGCAGCUCUCUCAUAGGCAAACUCACUUUGCACGGUCUUACCGGCUUUUCAGCAACACUGACAUCCUGCGUGGCAAUCAUGCGAGGGAGCUCCUUCUCUUCGUUUCCUCUCUAGAGAUAAGUCUCCGGGGAUGAGAGCUCUGAAAACUUGUCUUGAUUGAGUAUCAGAACUCCCAUCGUGGCUGUAGUCCGCACAACGUUAAAGUGACAGUAUGCCGUGCGCCGAUUAGCGCUGAUUGUAUCCAUGCUGGGGGCGUGUCAGCCGGUAGCGUUCGGAAACGUCACCGGGUGCUGCGCGCUCUGAUUGGAUGGUGGCGGGUCCUGGAGUGCGCUACCUUACGUGCCCCCACCAAACUUUUGCAAAGUAUAAAGGGAACUUCAGCCAGAAGCUGCAGGCAGGAUUCUGCCUCCGUGUCCUAUAGGAUGGAGAUGCUUUAUAUUUGUAAAGCCAGAUAUUUAGAUAUUUAGAUGUAGGUCUAGACAUGUCAUGUGAGUAUAGUAAUGAAAUGAGACCCUGGAUCAUGUGCAAAUACACUCGAGGGUAAUAUUUUUGAUGCAUUUCGUGAAAGCUGAAUAAAUAAUAUUUCCA